CGUCAAAUCAUCAUGCCCCUUAUGACCUGGGCUACACACGUGCUACAAUGGAUGGUACAACGGGAGGCGAAGGGGCGACCCGGAGCGAAUCCUUAAAAGCCGGUCUCAGUUCGGAUUGCAGGCUGCAACUCGCCUGCAUGAAGUCGGAAUUGCUAGUAAUCGCGGAUCAGCAUGCCGCGGUGAAUCCGUUCCCGGGUCUU
rnacentral:rRNA from 1 species